UACAGAGGUCUCAAGCGUUGUUCGGAUUCAUUGGGCGUAAAGGGUGCGUAGGCGGCGCGGUAAGUCGGGUGUGAAAUCUUGGAGCUUAACUCCGAAACUGCAUUCGAUACUGCCGUGCUUGAGGACUGGAGAGGAGACUGGAAUUUACGGUGUAGCGGUGAAAUGCGUAGAUAUCGUAAGGAAGACCAGUGGCGAAGGCGGCAUCCUGGACCAACACUGACGCUGAGUGAGCGAAAGCCAGGGAGCAAACGGG
rnacentral:rRNA from 1 species